ACAGUGCGGUAUCCGUGAACCGCCCUGACCGCAAUGGCGCGCUGCGGAUGUCGCAACGAUGAGACGUUGUCGCGGGUCAGGGCGUGGCACCAAAUGGGACCCCCGUACA